rnacentral:lncRNA from 10 species
UUCUAGCCUAUCUAAGGGCUUUGGAGAGCAAAAGCAAAAGAUUAACUAACUGCUCACAUGGGUCCCAGGAAAAUACAAAAGCACUACUGUUUAACAGGAAAGUUACUAUCCAGAAAUUAACCCACAAAGGUGGGAAGAGUAUUUACCCGCUAAUCUCUUUAUUCCCUCGCCUGACAAAAUAUCUGCAUUCCUGGGCGGCCUCAAGAAAUGAACUACAGACAUCUAUUCCCUUUGUGAUACCUCCUUGGAAUCAAAGUGUGGAGUGUAACAAUGUGCCUCCACACACUCACACUAGUUGAUGCUUCAUCUUGGUGAAAUCAAGUUUUUGGAAUUACCUUUCCUAAGAUCAUUCUAUUCACAGAGAAGGAGCUUAAUGUAAGUGAAAUUUUGUAAAAACCAAAGGAAUUGUCCAAGAACAAGAAGAAGAAUGAAUGACAAAAACAUAACUACCAUUUCAGACGACCGUGAAAUCCAUGAUUCCAAACUAUAUAAUGCAGGGAAGAAUUACCCUAAGUAAUAAAGGCUGGACAAGGUCAUUGGCUGGGAUUAUUUUGAAAAUAUUUAAUAAAAAGAACGCCUCAGGAAUUAACCAAUUGGAACAGAUUUUGUGGCUAAUCAAAACAGAUACUAAUCAUUAAAAAACAAAAAUCAAACUGAAAUAUCUCUGGCACAUUCUAUUGGCUACAACCCAGCAUUAGUCCUCGAGGCCUAGUCCAGGAAAAAAACAGGGAGUGAUGCUGUAGGCCGUACUACAGAACUAGGAGUAAAGCAAAUGUUAAAGAGAAAGCAUAUGUUAAAAUCUCAGAAAAUGUAGACGUGCUAUAACUACAAAAAAUAACUAAAGGGGAAUGAAGAGUGAAAAAUGUAGUGAAAUAACCUGUUUCCUCAUCUUUUAAAAUUUAGUGUUAACAAUAACUCUUUAAUAGAUAAAAUAUUGAAGAUGGCCCAUUAGAAGCAGUGGCAGUGCCAAAUUGUUUUCCAGUUUAUAUUCCUAUAAGCAAUUUUUGAGGAUUUCAUUUGUUUAAUAUCCUCUCCUACAUUUUUAUAUUGUCAGUAUUUUAAAACAUUAGAUAUUUUGAUGGAUGGAUGAUAGUAUCUCACUGUGGCUUUAAUUUGUACUUCCUUGAUGAGUAACGAUGGUGAGCAUGUUUUCAUGCACUUAUUUCCCAUUUGAUAAUUCUCUCUUAAGUGACUGUUAAUGUCUUUUGUCCAUUUAUUUGUUGGGUUGUCUGUCUUUAUCUUACUAACUUUUAGAAGCUCUUUAGAUCUUUAGACAUUAAGUAUAUGAGUACCUUUCCAAAAAUAUGCAAAUAUCUUCUCCUGAUUUGUGCUUAUCUCUUUUACUCACUUUUUCUGAUGAAUGGAAAUCCUUAAUCUUAAUAGUGUCUAAUUUAUUUUGUUUGUUUUUUUUUACUUUGGGUUAGUGCUUUUAAUUUCUUAUUAAAAAUUUCAUACUUUACUGUCAAAAGUUAUUUUCCUAUGUUUUCUUCUAAAACUUUUAUGUUUUACUUAUCAGUUUUGUCUGUAAUCCAUCUAGCAUUGAUCUUUGAGUGCAGUGUGAAGAAAAUGUCAAGAUGACUUUUAAAAUAUUUUUAAGCAAUAAAUAGGCAUUCAGUGGCAUUCAGUGGGGAGGAGAAUUGUUUUAGAAUGACUCAAAAUCUAGAUUCCUUUAAGGAAGCAUUUAUGAUAAAUUUGACAACACAAAGCCAAAAAGAAAACAAUCAGUUUCUUUGAAAAAAAUUAUGAAGAAUGUCAAAGAACAAACACUAAAUUGGAGAAUAACAUUUUGCAUGAAUGAUUCUCUCAUUUUUUGCAUGUGGUAGCAUCUACAAAUCAACAGGAAAAAUACCAAUUACUCAAUAUCAUUUUUAUAUAUUAGUUAAGAUAUAGAUGAAGCUUCUGUAACAAAUGUCAAAAUAACAAUAGCUAAAACAAGACAGCUUUUAAAAUUAGUUUCGUGUGUGUGUGUCAUAAAAUCAUGUGUGUAUAAGCAGGCCAGGCCUUCUACUGUUGUCUGGUCUUCCAAAAAAUAUGAUUUCUAUUCAAGGCUUAAAAUAGCUGGUCUGUCUUCCUCCAUGUUGUACAAAUAUUAGUCAGUAUCAAAAAGAUAAGGCAGUGAGAAGAGAUAUCCCUUUUCAAAAAACAACUGAGAGGUCACACACGUUUCUCUUUGCAUCCCUUCUGUGAAAAUUUAGCCAUCUACCCACAGGGAAAGUUGGAAAUGAUUAUUCAAUAAAUGACAAAGGGGAAUACAACUAUUGAAGGCUCUAGGAUUCUCUUUUUUCCAGGGAAAGACAUAUUGACAUUUCAUAGAAAUUGGAUCUCAAACACAAUAAAAUGACAAGAUUAAUCUAAGGAAAAUGUAAAUUUUAACCUCAAAUAUGUAUUGUUUUAACCUACCUCAUGGGCAAAGAUCUAAAGUUUUGAUUCUACAUGUUGUGGGCAACGGUAGGGGAAAGAGGCACUUUUUCUAUGUCUACACCCACCUGAAGAAAACAUAAGCUGAAAUACUGUCUAUUGCAGUUACAAUAUUUAUAAAAAUUUUAAAUUCACAUAUCCUUUCACCUAGAUAUUCUACUGCCAGUUAUUUAGCUUCUGCAAAUCCAAGCAACAUAACAGGUGUGCCAGGAAACUCAGGACAGCAUUGAAAAUAAUAUACAUGUUUAUUAACUGAGGCAGCUUCUUAUCAAUCAUGUUCUGGUGGAAUACUAUGCACAACUAAAAAAGAGUAUGGCAGUUGUAUUUAAAGUGAUAAAAAAAUAAAAUGCUAUUCUAUGUAAGAACUUUUUUUUUCUUUUUUUUUGAGACGGAGUCUCGCUCUGUC